GGGCCAGACUCCUACGGGAGGCAGCAGUCGGGAAUAUUGCGCAAUGGAGGAAACUCUGACGCAGUGACGCCGCGUGCAGGAAGAAGGUUUUCGGAUUGUAAACUGCUUUAGACAGGGAAGAAAAAAGACAGUACCUGUAGAAUAAGCUCCGGCUAACUACGUGCCAGCAGCCGCGGUAAUACGUAGGUGGCAAGCGUUGUCCGGAUUUACUGGGUGUAAAGGGCGUGUAGCCGGGCCGGCAAGUCAGAUGUGAAAUCCCAAGGCUCAACCUUGGAACUGCAUUUGAAACUGUUGGUCUUGAGUAUCGGAGAGGCAGGCGGAAUUCCUAGUGUAGCGGUGAAAUGCGUAGAUAUUAGGAGGAACACCGGUGGCGAAGGCGGCCUGCUGGACUGUGACUGACGUUGAGGCUCGAAAGCGUGGGGAGCAAACAGGAUUAGAUACCCCAGUAG
rnacentral:rRNA from 1 species